rnacentral:rRNA from 1 species
GUGAGUGAUGAAGGCCUUCGGGUUGUAAAGCUCUUUUGGAGGGACGAUAAUGACCGUACCUGGAGAAUAAGCUGCGGCUAACUCCGUGCCAGCAACCGCGGUAAUACUUAGUGCGCUAGCGUUGUUCGGAAUUACUGGGCGUAAAGUUUGCGUAAGUUAGUUUUCAAGUCGGGUGUGAAAGCCCCCGGCUCAACCCCGAAACUGCCUUUGAAACUAAACGACUAAAAUCUUGGAGAGGUCGGUGGAAUUCCGAGUGUAGAGGUGAAAUUCAUAUAUAUUUGGAAGAACAACAGUGGCGAAGGCGACUAACUGGACCAUUACUGACGCUGAGGUCCGAAAGCGUGGGGAGCAAACAGGAUUAAAUACCCUGGUAGUCCACGCCAUAAACGAUGAUGACUAUCUGUCCCGAAAUUUGUUGCUCGGUGGGCGAGCUUAACCCAUUAACUUACCCCCCGGGGAAGUCCGGUCCCACGAUCACAGUGGAAAGAAAUUCACGGGAUUAACACUCAAAGGAAUUGACGG